rnacentral:rRNA from 1 species
AGGACGAACGCUGGCGGCGUGCUUAACACAUGCAAGUCGAACGGUAAGGCCCUUCGGGGUACACGAGUGGCGAACGGGUGAGUAACACGUGGGUGAUCUGCCCUGCACUUCGGGAUAAGCUUGGGAAACUGGGUCUAAUACCGGAUAUGACUACGAAUCGCAUGGUUUGUGGUGGAAAGCUUUUGCGGUGUGGGAUGGGCCCGCGGCCUAUCAGCUUGUUGGUGGGGUGAUGGCCUACCAAGGCGACGACGGGUAGCCGGCCUGAGAGGGUGUCCGGCCACACUGGGACUGAGAUACGGCCCAGACUCCUACGGGAGGCAGCAGUGGGGAAUAUUGCACAAUGGGCGCAAGCCUGAUGCAGCGACGCCGCGUGAGGGAUGACGGCCUUCGGGUUGUAACCUCUUUCAGUAUCGACGAAGCGCAAGUGACGGUAGGUACAGAAGAAGGACCGGCCAACUACGUGCCAGCACGCCGCGGUAA